rnacentral:rRNA from 1 species
AGAGUUUGAUCCUGGCUCAGAACGAACGCUGGCGGCGUGGAUUAGGCAUGCAAGUCGAGCGGUAACAGGUUACCCGCAAGGGUGACGCUGACGAGCGGCGAACGGGUAAGCAAUACAUGAACAAUCUGCCCUGAAGCUUGGAAUAGCGUCUGGAAACGGACGGUAAUACUGGAUGUGGUCGCCUUCCGCAUGGAAGGUUGUCUAAAGCCGGGGACCGCAAGGCCUGGCACUUCGGGAUGAGUUCAUGUCCUAUCAGCUAGUUGGCGGGGUAACGGCCCACCAAGGCUAAGACGGGUAGCUGGUCUGAGAGGAUGGUCAGCCACAUUGGGACUGAGAUACUGCCCAGACUCCUACGGGAGGCUGCAGUCGAGGAUAUUUCACAAUGCGCGAAAGCGUGAUGAUGCGACGCCGCGUGGAGGACGAAGGCCUUCGGGUUGUAAACUCCUGUCGUGAGGGAGCAAGUGGGUCUUGCCUAACACGCAAGGCUCUUGAUGGUACCUCAGGAGGAAGCCACGGCAAACUCUGUGCCAGCAGCCGCGGUAAUACAGAGGUGGCGAGCGUUGUUCGGAUUUACUGGGCGUAAAGGGUGCGUAGGCGGCCCCGUGUGUCGGAUGUGAAAGCCCAUGGCUCAACCAUGGAAUGGCAUCCGAAACUGCGGGGCUAGAGUGCAGGAGAGGAGAGUGGAAUUCUUGGUGUAGCGGUGAAAUGCGCAGAUAUCAAGAGGAACACCGGUGGCGAAGGCGGCUCUCUGGAAUGACACUGACGCUGAGGCACGAAAGCCAGGGUAGCAAAAAGGAUUAGAUACCCUUGUAGUCCUGGCUGUAAACGGUGUACACUUGGUGUGGGAGGCUUUAUCCCCUUCCGUGCCGUAGCUAACGUGAUAAGUGUACCGCCUGGGGAGUACGGUCGCAAGAUUAAAACUCAAAGGAAUUGACGGGGGCCCGCACAAGCGGUGGAGCAUGUGGCUUAAUUCGAUCCACGCGAAAAACCUUACCUGGGUUCGAAGUGUAACACUGUAUCCUGAUGAAAGUCGGGAGUCAUUUAGUUGGGUGUUACAAAGGUGCUGCAUGGCUGUCGUCAGCUCGUGCCGUGAGGUGUUGGGUUAAGUCCCGCAACGAGCGCAACCCUUGUGUCUAGUUGCCAGCUAGGAGUGAUCCGUAGGGCACUCUAGACAGACUGCCCGUGAUAAGCGGGAGGAAGGUGGGGAUGACGUCAAGUCAGUAUGGCCCUUAUGUCCAGGGCUGCACACGUGCUACAAUGGCCGGUACAGAGGGAUGCAAGACCGCGAGGUGGAGCAAAUCCCAAAAACCGUCCUCAGUUCAGAUUGCAGGCUGCAACUCGCCUGCAUGAAGCUGGAAUCGCUAGUAAUGGCGCAUCAGCUACGGCGCCGUGAAUACGUUCCCGGGCCUUGUACACACCGCCCGUCACAUCAUGAAAGCCGUCUGCACCCGAAGUAGCCGAUCCAACCCGCAAGGGAGGUAGGUUCCGAAGGUGUGGGUGGUGAUUGGGAUGAAGUCGUAACAAGGUAGCCGUAG